GACAGCAUGGCUUAGUGGGUCUAGUGUUGGACUAUGACUCUGGAGACCAGGGUUCGAUUCCCAGCUCGGCCA